GUGCAUGCAACAGGAGACGAGACAUACUAGGAGCAAGAAAAAUACACAACCUCUUCUUGAAGGCUUAAGCGAAGCAAGAGGGAGAAGGAGAGUCAGACGCCCAUNUAGGGAUUUGUUUCCUUCACCUGACAGAUUACUAUCACCUUCACCAGAUAGAAGAAUAGAGGAAAUGGCUGAGAGAACUCCUCCAAGACGCACUCUUGCAGACCAAUUAGAUAUGGUUGACCCUUUCCAUUUUAGCAGCAUAGUCAUGCCUGCAGAUCAAACGACCAACAUGGUGAUGAAUCCA
rnacentral:lncRNA from 1 species